GAACCGACUGGUUCUGAUGAUGGAUGUUUAUCCAAAAGAUACUUACUAGGCUUUGACCCAUUAGUGGCCAUCUUGUAACUGACCCAUUAGGGUUUAUGACAUUGUAACUCCCUAUAUAAGGAGUUCAUAUUCGACAUUAAUAAGACACACAUUCACAACACGUUAUCAGCACGAGCUAAGCUCAAAACCCUAGCAAAAUUCGUAGGUCACCAAAAACCUUAAAAACUAGCCGCAUCUUAAAACAAUCAUAUCUCCCUAACCGUAACGACCUAGACGGCGAGCCACCUAUCAAUCUGAAGAUCUCGACGAGACGAAGCCAGCGCCGCUAACCUCGCGAGGAUCCGAUCUCCGACGCGCUGACACGCUCUGUUUUAGUACGUGCCGUCAAUUGCUCAAGAACCCUAAUUUUGACGCAACUUCAAAUCGAUCGUUCUCUCAAACCAUAACGAUCCAAACAACGUGCGAUAUACCAACUUGAAGAUCUUGAAGAGAAGAAUCCAUAGCCGGAAACCUCGCGUCAAUCAGAUCUCAGACGCCCCGCCAAUCUCUGUUUUAGUGCGCGCCGUCAAUUGCACAAAAACCCUAAUUUUGAUUCAAUUUCAAAUCGAUCGUUCUCCCAAACCGUAACGAUCCAGAAAACGUGCGACAUAUCAAUUUGAAGAUCUGGACGAGGAGAAUCCAGCGCCGCAGACCGCGCCGCGAUCAGAUCAUAGACGCGCCCUCACCGCCAUCUACAAGCCGCGCCGUCAAAAGAAAACCUAAGGCUGUUAACUUCUCUUUCUAGUUUGUUUAUAGCCGAUUUAUUAUUUGAUCUUACUAACUUCCUUUCAUCAAUUUGUUUAAGGAAAACAAAGGAUCAAAUCUAAUCAGAUCAAUUGAGGUUGAGAUUUCCAAAGGAACCAAGGAGCAAAUCGAGAUCUAAAAGUUAUAACAUUGGAUCCAUACAUGGAUAGAUCUCAAACAAGCAGUAUGCACACGUUGGAAAACAAAUAUGAAGAAGUACGAGUCCAACCAAAGACAUGUCAACCGGCUUCUUCACCAUGUCUACAACAGCACCACGUCCAUGGGACCUUCCUAUCAAUCCAGGACGUGCACAUUAGAAGAUCAGCUCAGAGACUUGGCGCCCAUGGAGUUACCACCAGUCUACUCAUGUGCCAACCUCAGGAGCAUAUACGGAGGUACAAAUCAGGGGAAGUGAUACAUGUUGUACUCUUUUUCCUUCACUAUGGUUUUGUCCCACUGGGUUUUCCUGGUAAGGUUUUAAUGAGGCAACACCAAGUAAUUGGUAAAGUGUAUCACGAGCCCAAAAAGGAUUUGGUAUCUGGCGAACUCAAGAUGGAUUCAACAUCCAGGGGAAGUGUUAUGAACCGACUGGUUCUGAUGAUGGAUGUUUAUCCAAAAGAUACUUACUAGGCUUUGACCCAUUAGUGGCCAUCUUGUAACUGACCCAUUAGGGUUUAUGACAUUGUAACUCCCUAUAUAAGGAGUUCAUAUUCGACAUUAAUAAGACACACAUUCACAACAU